UUUUUUCAAUAGGAGAGAAGUUCCAGGUUCAGCAACAUGCGAACUAAUUAGAAGCUUCUCCAUACUAUGGGUAGAAAGGGUUAUCCACGUGUGGCUUAUGAAAUGGUACUUCUUACGAACAUAUCAUGUCUUUUUACUUGAAUUGUCCAAUUUCAAUAUAUUUGAUUACUACAUUUGUACUGCAGAAGAAAAAGAAUCCACAUUUAAAAGGGUUAAGAAUAGAAGUAUGGAAAUAUGGACAUCUCAGAAAAGAUGGAAAACCAAUUAAUGAAGCAGUUGCCGAAACAUUGGUAUGUGUAUUAUACUAAUGUUCAAUUAAGCAUAAUUUGAUUUAUUAGUUGUAUCACUUGCUACUAUUUGAUUUGAGUUCCUUAAGUGCAGAAAAAGAUUGAAGAUUGUGCCACAUCAAUUUCCGAUAUGCUUGCAUAAGAUUCUAUCCGUGAUGAUGCUAUAGCUCGAGUUUUUGGUCCCGAACGCUAUGGAAGAGUUAGGGGACCCGGAUUUGGAGUUGUACCAUCAAAAGUGGAUGGAUAAAUACAAAGUAGUGGGAGAGCUAGAGAACUUGAAAGCCAAGUACAGAUUCAGGCACAAAGGAUGGGGGCAUUAGAAGAAAAAAUGGAGGUUUUCUCAGUAGGUUAUAAGUAGUUACUUUUUAUACAUUUUAUGAUUAUAUAGCUUUAUAUAGCCAAUUACAGGUAUAAUAACUUUUGUAAUUUUUGUAUUAUUAUACAAAAUGUGGAGGAUAGGAAUUCAAAUGCUUUUAAUCAGGUUUCCAUUUCCUAUAUUAUUAAAUGUUUAUUUAAUAUAUAUUCAAUUUGUAGCAUUCUAAUUUUAAAAAGAAUACUUUUUGUUUAUUAUGAAUUUGUAGUCACACCAAGGAAGUGGUGUCCAAAGAAGUACUACCCCCAAGACAAAUGCAAGAUGUCAACUGUUGCAUUGGUACAUGUUUGAGGAGGAAGAAGUCGUAGCAGAAGGGAAGAUUGCCACAAGAGAUCCAAGUGCAAAGGUGCAUCACUUGCCACUCGGUCGAGACUGUUGAAAGGUUUGGAUUGAGGAAGUCUAUGUGGGUAAUUUGACCCUAUACAGACCCACAUAUGAAUUCCGCACUCUUAGUGAAGCCAUGGAAAGUACUAUUGCUUGGUCAAAGAGUAGUAUUAGACUUCUUGAUUAAGGUAUUAGACUCUUAGUGGC
rnacentral:lncRNA from 1 species